GCAAAUGCAAUGAGGAAGAGAGUAUUUAUCAUAGAAGUUUUACAGAGAACAUUCCGUAUGGCUGAGAGGAAUGGAACGGACAGAUAGAGAAGAUGACUUCUGAGCGGCGCACCGAACGGAUACCGAAACAGAAUAGGAACGGUAGAAGCAAGGCUGCGACAGGAUCCGCCUGUUACAGCGGAUAGGGUUACGGACCCGAAGAGGUCUGUGCUGUGAGGUACAGACGAAGAGAAGUGGUAACACGAGAUUAUGCUCGUCUUCUUG
rnacentral:ncRNA from 1 species